rnacentral:rRNA from 1 species
UACGGGGGGGGCAAGCGUUGUUCGGAAUUACUGGGCGUAAAGGGCUCGUAGGUGGCCAACUAAGUCAGACGUGAAAUCCCCAGGCUCAACUUGGGAACUGCGUCUGAUACUGGAUGGCUUGAAUUCGGGAGAGGGAUGCAGAAUUCCAGGUGUAGCGGUGAAAUGCGCAGAUAUUAGGAAGAACACCGGUGGCGAAGGCGGCUCUCUGGAACGGUACUGACGCUGAGACGCGAAAGCGUGGGGAGCGAACAGG